UGCACAUGAUGCCAUUCUCUCACGAUGGUCUUCCAAGUCUCAUGGUGAAGGGGCUUUGACGACAAUGCCACAACGGCUUUGCUGAUGCCCAGCG
rnacentral:snoRNA from 1 species